rnacentral:rRNA from 1 species
UGACUCGGAUCGAUGAGAUACC